rnacentral:lncRNA from 1 species
ACGGCAAUUCAACAUGCCUGUGGGGCAGACCGUGUGUUACACGGUCUAGACACAUGCCCGUGAGUCUACCCGUGUGACCAUUUGAAGGCUAUUUUCCAAGCCAGUUGUCAUCCUCAAUCAUUCAUACACUCAACAUAUUUCAUAGCAUGCAACAUGACAUAUUUAGACACUCAAUUAUUCAACACCAUGACACUUUCACAUCCUCAUAAAGUCAUCCUAUUGCACAUUCAAUUAGUCACACCAUUUGGAAG